GGACGUGAGGGCGAUCAGGCUGUGACAUCUCUCACCCACUGAUCACCAGGGUCGAUUCAGGGGAUCUACCAAGCAGGGCAGAUGUCCCUUUCCUCCCUCACCCCUCCCAUGUGGGUCCCUCCUGAAGGUCAGCCCUGGGUUCGAAAGAAUGACCUUCCCCCAGAGGAGGACUGCUCUUCUAUCAGAAGUAUACGAGGACCUGUACCCCCUCCCCAACCCGGCUAAGACCUCCCAACAAGCUCUCAAGCUGCAUUUGUGGAGAAAAUAAGGUAGUUAAGCUCCCGAGACUCUAGAGACAUCCAAAUGAGGCACUGCCUGUGACAGGCUGCUGCCGCCU
rnacentral:snRNA from 1 species